rnacentral:other from 1 species
UGCGGUCUGCGCUUCGCGGCAGGAGCGACAUUUCCCCGGGGCCUUAUCGAUCCUUAAGGGAGCUGUCCCUGAAUUGGCUCCUGGGCCUUUUCACACGGCGCCCACCUACGCUGUAGGUUCCCGGGAUCGACUGCUUCACCGGUUGUCGUGGAUCGCGC